UGGGCGUUAAGUUGCAGGGUAUAGACCCGAAACCCGGUGAUCUAGCCAUGGGCAGGUUGAAGGUUGGGUAACACUAACUGGAGGACCGAACCGACUAAUGUUGAAAAAUUAGCGGAUGACCUGUGGCUGGGGGUGAAAGGCCAAUCAAACCGGGAGAUAGCUGGUUCUCCCCGAAAGCUAUUUAGGUAGCGCCUCGUGAAUUCAUCUCCGGGGGUAGAGCACUGUUUCGGCUAGGGGGCCAUCCCGGCUUACCAACCCGAUGCAAACUGCGAAUACCGGAGAAUGUUAUCACGGGAGACACACGGCGGGUGCUAACGUCCGUCGUGAAGAGGGAAACAACCCAGACCGCCAGCUAAGGUCCCAAAGUCAUGGUUAAGUGGGAAACGAUGUGGGAAGGCCCAGACAGCCAGGAUGUUGGCUUAGAAGCAGCCAUCAUUUAAAGAAAGCGUAAUAGCUCACUGGUCGAGUCGGCCUGCGCGGAAGAUGUAACGGGGCUAAACCAUGCACCGAAGCUGCGGCAGCGACACUCAGGUGUUGUUGGGUAGGGGAGCGUUCUGUAAGCCUGCGAAGGUGGCCUGUGAGGGUUGCUGGAGGUAUCAGAAGUGCGAAUGCUGACAUAAGUAACGAUAAAGCGGGUGAAAAGCCCGCUCGCCGGAAGACCAAGGGUUCCUGUCCAACGUUAAUCGGGGCAGGGUGAGUCGACCCCUAAGGCGAGGCCGAAAGGCGUAGUCGAUGGGAAACGGGUUAAUAUUCCCGUACUUGGUGUUACUGCGAAGGGGGGACGGAGAAGGCUAUGUUGGCCGGGCGACGGUUGUCCCGGUUUAAGCGUGUAGGUGUGUGUUCCAGGUAAAUCCGGUUCACUUUAACACUGAGGCGUGACGACGAGGCACUACGGUGCUGAAGCAACAAAUGCCCUGCUUCCAGGAAAAGCCUCUAAGCAUCAGGUAACAUCAAAUCGUACCCCAAACCGACACAGGUGGUCAGGUAGAGAAUACCAAGGCGCUUGAGAGAACUCGGGUGAAGGAACUAGGCAAAAUGGUGCCGUAACUUCGGGAGAAGGCACGCUGACACGUAGGUGAAGUGAUUUACUCACGGAGCUGAAGUCAGUCGAAGAUACCAGCUGGCUGCAACUGUUUAUUAAAAACACAGCACUGUGCAAACACGAAAGUGGACGUAUACGGUGUGACGCCUGCCCGGUGCCGGAAGGUUAAUUGAUGGGGUCAGCGCAAGCGAAGCUCCUGAUCGAAGCCCCGGUAAACGGCGGCCGUAACUAUAACGGUCCUAAGGUAGCGAAAUUCCUUGUCGGGUAAGUUCCGACCUGCACGAAUGGCGUAAUGAUGGCCAGGCUGUCUCCACCCGAGACUCAGUGAAAUUGAACUCGCUGUGAAGAUGCAGUGUACCCGCGGCAAGACGGAAAGACCCCGUGAACCUUUACUAUAGCUUGACACUGAACAUUGAGCCUUGAUGUGUAGGAUAGGUGGGAGGCUUUGAAGUGUGGACGCCAGUCUGCAUGGAGCCGACCUUGAAAUACCACCCUUUAAUGUUUGAUGUUCUAACGUGGACCCGUGAUCCGGGUUGCGGACAGUGUCUGGUGGGUAGUUUGACUGGGGCGGUCUCCUCCUAAAGAGUAACGGAGGAGCACGAAGGUUGGCUAAUCCUGGUCGGACAUCAGGAGGUUAGUGCAAUGGCAUAAGCCAGCUUGACUGCGAGCGUGACGGCGCGAGCAGGUGCGAAAGCAGGUCAUAGUGAUCCGGUGGUUCUGAAUGGAAGGGCCAUCGCUCAACGGAUAAAAGGUACUCCGGGGAUAACAGGCUGAUACCGCCCAAGAGUUCAUAUCGACGGCGGUGUUUGGCACCUCGAUGUCGGCUCAUCACAUCCUGGGGCUGAAGUAGGUCCCAAGGGUAUGGCUGUUCGCCAUUUAAAGUGGUACGCGAGCUGGGUUUAGAACGUCGUGAGACAGUUCGGUCCCUAUCUGCCGUGGGCGCUGGAGAACUGAGGGGGGCUGCUCCUAGUACGAGAGGACCGGAGUGGACGCAUCACUGGUGUUCGGGUUGUCAUGCCAAUGGCACUGCCCGGUAGCUAAAUGCGGAAGAGAUAAGUGCUGAAAGCAUCUAAGCACGAAACUUGCCCCGA
rnacentral:rRNA from 1 species